rnacentral:tRNA from 1 species
UCCGAGGUGGCUCAGUGGUAAAGAAUCUGCCUGCAAUGCAGGAGACCCAGGUUCAAUCCCUGAGUCAGGAA